rnacentral:rRNA from 1 species
GUGGAUGGGGCGCAGCCUGAUCCAGCCAUGCCGCGUGUCUGAAGAAGGCCUUCGGGUUGUAAAGGACUUUUGUCCGGGAGCAAAUCCCAGUGGUUAAUACCUACUGGGGCUGACAGUACCGGAAGAAUAAGCACCGGCUAACUACGUGCCAGCAGCCGCGGUAAUACGUAGGGUGCAAGCGUUAAUCGGAAUUACUGGGCGUAAAGCGUGCGCAGGCGGUUGUGCAAGUCUGAUGUGAAAGCCCCGGGCUUAACCUGGGAACGGCAUUGGAGACUGCACGACUAGAGUGCGUCAGAGGGGGGUAGAAUUCCGCGUGUAGCAGUGAAAUGCGUAGAGAUGCGGAGGAAUACCGAUGGCGAAGGCAGCCCCCUGGGAUGACACUGACGCUCAUGCACGAAAGCGUGGGGAGCAAACAGGAUUAGAUACCCUGGUAGUCCACGCCCUAAACGAUGUCAACUAGCUGUUGGGGGUUUGAAUCCUUGGUAGCGAAGCUAACGCGAGAAGUUGACCGCCUGGGGAGUACGGCCGCAAGGUUAAAACUCAAGAAAUUUGACGGGGG